UACGUAGGGUGCAAGCGUUGUCCGGAAUUAUUGGGCGUAAAGAGCUCGUAGGCGGUUUGUCGCGUCGAAUAUGAAAACCCGGGGCUCAACCCCGGGCCUGCAUUCGAUACGGGCAGACUAGAGUUCGGUAGGGGAGUCUGGAAUUCCUGGUGUAGCGGUGAAAUGCGCAGAUAUCAGGAGGAACACCGGUGGCGAAGGCGGUUCUCUGGGAAUGACCUGACGCUGAGGAGCGAAAGUGUGGGGAGCGAACAGG
rnacentral:rRNA from 1 species